rnacentral:sRNA from 1 species
CCUCCUCCUCCUGUCCUUCCCUCCCUAAACUGCAGGCUUGGCGAAUGGGUCUCCAGGUUAAGAGGAGGGAAGCCCAGGGAGACUGGAGUUACUGGAAGAAAAACAUCAUUUUCAGAGGUUGCAGGCCAUUGGUGCAGGCCACAUAGAUGGCAGAGGAAGUAACAAGAACACUUACAUUCGAAAACUCCAGAUGCAGAAGUAAAAUGACCAACGGCUAAACUACAACUGGUUGCAAUAGCUCACUUAGUAGUUGUCCCCUUCCUUCAAACAUCAAGCAUGACAUAGAUCAAAAUGCACAUUAGUUAAGGUGGUUAAAAAAAAAUCUGUGGGUUGGGGAUUUAGCUCAGUGGUAGAGCGCUUGCCUAGGAAG